CGUCACUGGCAAUUCUACUCGUGACCUUGGAGGUGUGAUUCCAUCAUCAGAUGGAAAGAGAAGCAUGAUGAAACUGGCACAAAGGAUGAUAAACAAUUUUUGUGGGAGCAUCAACCCAUCCAACGGUCACCAGUGGACCACAUUUUCAGGGUUAAAUGAAGUUGAAGUCCGAGCCAGCCUUCACAAGAGUACCGAUCCAGGCCAGCCCAGUGGUGUGGUCCUCAGUGCUGCUACAACCAUUUGGGUCCCUGUUUCUCCCCAAAAUGUUUUCAAUUUCUUUAGGGAUGAACGUACUCGACCUCAGGUAUAUUCAAUUCCUACAUUAUAUGUAGGACUCGACUUAUCUCCAUUUCAUCAUGUGGACUGGACCGUGUUGUCUGGACCGUAAGACUCACCGCAAAUUCACUUCCAUGGUUCAAUCUAUUUGUUUUUUAUGUCAUUGUGGGUAGAAGAUGCAUGGAAAACAUAAAAUUGAUAAAAAAUAAUUACACCUACAUUAUUUUAUUAUGUCUCCAAAAAAAAA